UGAUUCAGCUCAUGUUGACACCCAUAUGUCCUUGACUGAAGGAAGGGAGGCCGUCUAUCUGCAGACGGGGGGAAACCCACCUCCGAGAAAACACUACGGGCUUGGACGGUGGCUGUCCAGCGUGUUUGGUAAGAAGUCGUCCCUCCGCAUAGGAACAACAGGUGAGGGAAAAGCUUCUGAGGAACACAGUGAAUGAGUGAAGAUGUUGGCAAUGGAUAUAGGGACCACCAGCUCGUUAUGGUGAACACAGAGUCACCGAAGAAGGCACCAGCGUGUAUCUCUGCCCACAGUUCCUGACGGACACUCCUUUGUACUCAGUGGGAAGAAGGCAACAUCUAUCUGUGUGGCUCAGCACGAGGGUAAGGAAGGUACAGGGGACCUGCGGAUCUGAAGCCUUAAUUCCCUGAAUCAUCUAAUGAAAUCAUCAGCUCAGUAGUUGGGUGCUCUUGUCCUCUCCUGUCACCAAGAAGCAUCCCUCUGCCUGGAGGCAAUCAACUACAAGGGACAGACUCAUGCACAAGGACCAUGGAAAGCCUUGGAGAGACCAUGCAAAUCAGGCCAGCCUUUCCAACUACUGAAGUAAACCUUCAGGAGCCUUGCAGGCAAAGAUAAAUUUUAGGAUGAGCUCUUCGGUUUUGACAAGUUUCUUGUUGUGAUUUUGAUUAAGAGUGUACUGAAUCUACAGAUAAAUAUGAGGACCAUCAACAUAUUAAAAAUACUGGAUUAUCUUAUCCAUGAACAUGGUAUAUCUUUCCACUUAUUUGGAUCUUCUUUAGUUUCUCACAGCAAUAUUUUAUUUCAACAGGGAGUUCUUGUAUGUCUUUAAUUAAAUUUAUUCCUUAGUAUUUUAUGAUUUUUUAAAAUUCUGUUUUAAAAGAAUUGAAACAUUUUUUAUUCUCCUAUUCUUUACUGUUAGUAUAUAGAAAUGCAAAUGUUUAGGCAUAUUGAUCAU